UACAGAGGGGGCAAGCGUUGUUCGGAAUUACUGGGCGUAAAGGGCGCGUAGGCGGCCUGCUAAGUCGAACGUGAAAUCCCUGGGCUCAACCCAGGAACUGCGUCGGAUACUGGAUGGCUUGAAUUCGGGAGAGGGAUGCAGAAUUCCAGGUGUAGCGGUGAAAUGCGUAGAUAUCUGGAGGAAUACCGGUGGCGAAGGCGGCAUCCUGGACUGACAUUGACGCUGAACGGCGAAAGCUAGGGGAGCAAACGGG
rnacentral:rRNA from 1 species